CUUUAGAAAUGCUGGUGCUAAACAAAUAGAUAAACAGCAGAGAGAGGUCGGCAACCAAGCUGGAACUCCCAGAAUUUUCAAGGGAGCGGCAAUGUUUAUCCACGGAGGUUUUUAAGCCAGCAUUACUUGCUGAAGUUCCAACAGUAGGAGCUUAGCCACAAAGAGUCUCAUUAUAUAGUAUCUUGGCAAUCCAAAUAGUCCCUCCCCUGACUGAAUUUGGUUGACUCCGUCGAUGACAGAGGCCAAAAUCAGGAGUUUCGAGUCCUGUGAAAGGUUCCUUAGCUUCAGGGAGAGAGAGAGAAGAGCCGUUCCACCGUCCCGCGCCUCGCCACACCCUGAACUCAGGCCAGGCUGAGGGAAAUAGCGUUGCAUAGAGCGUGUGGCCCGUAGUAUGAGGACAUAAACAUAAAGAAGUAGUUUCUGCCACUAAGAUACAUCUGGCACUUAGCAGUGGCUUGAUAAAUAUUUGCUGAGAAACUGAGUGAACACAGUCCCACGUAUUUCAACAAAACACUUACCACAAACUAUGUUACAGUUUUGUUUUUAUAGUGGGACUUUCUCCUAGGCUGUGGAAAUUUUCGUAUCCCAUGGACUCUUUGUAGUCUCUACCAAAGGACCUCCCCUGCGGUCCCGAAGGAACCCCUGCCAUUUCUUUUGAAGACAGUAAGAGCCGCAGCUGCUGAGGGGGCCCUGGUCCCCCCUCAUGGAGACUUUGGCGUGCCUCUGCUCCGAUGUCACCCUACCCUGUGCGCAGCUGUUGGACCCAAAGAGCUGCUCUGAGAGUCGCAGUAGCCCUAAGAGCUCCAGAGUCAUCCUGAGAGAAUGUUCUACAAAGAACGCACGUUUGUAGGUAAGCAGGACUCCACUCCACUCUUGGAUUGCCCAACUGCCGGUGCUCCUGGCCCCCAAGAGCAGAGGGUUCUGACAGGAGGAAUCAGUAACUUUAUUUCCCGAUGCAGAGAACAUAUUCCUUUCCUCUGAAACCUGGAAAAUCAUAUCCAUUAGUGGCCUAUUUAUUCAUAAACAUCCUCAAAACGAGGGUUCUGUCUGCUCAGGUAAGGACAGUCUUAAAUCUCAGGGAGUCAAGUUCUUCCUUUAAUCAGCCCCAAUAAUACCAGUCAGAAGCUCUGGUUUCGAGUUCUCUGAGCCAUAUGAGCAAGCCAUUUUGCUUCCAGGGCACUUUCCUCAGCCUCUUUGGCAUAAACUGCAACGAGGUCUUAGCUAUUUUCUGUUUGAAGUGGUGUCUCGGACUUUGGGAUUCAUGUGAUCAUUGAGCAUGCUGAGAAAAAUGAAGCAAACAGUGUGACAUCAAGGUGAGGAUUGCCCUUUCCAGUGAUGGGGGGGUGGGGCAGACAAGAUUAGCCAAAUGGCAGUACUGUAACAGGCUCGAGGUGCAAUUUUCAUUACUCUCUGCAGAACGCGCACUGAUCUGGGGAGGAAGGAAGACAAUAAUGAGCGGCACUGUCCCACAACUGAGCUUUACGGACACGAAAAUGUUCUUCAUCAAACUCCAACCUCUUUCAUUUGUUUCUUCCUAAUUCUCAUCUCCUCAGGCUGGCUGGGAAUAUUCUCUUCCCUGGUUUCUGUCAUCAGGUCCUUGGAUCAUCAUCCAUCACUCACUCAGCAAGUAUGUAUUAGGUCCCCGUCGUGUACCCGGCCCUGGGAGUAAGUUCCAGAGCUUCUGUCUAGUAAUGAAGUAUUUGAGGUAGAGAGUGGUAAGUACGAUAAAAAGGCAUCUAUCUACAAGGCAAGGGGGCCAGGGAAGGAAGAACUCUCUUCCAGCAGUUCCUGAUAACUUUCCUACAAGUAAGACCCUGGAGCUGAGUCCGUCAGGACAUAUGGGAGUUUCUGAGUGAAUAAGUACAGGAUGAGGAGCAGGGGGCCGGAGACAGAACUCCGGGGAAAGGAAGAAGGCUAGCAGCAGCCAAUGCUUACUGAUGUGUGUGUCACUGACAUGUUUAUCAUGUCCUACGCACUCUUCCGUGUUCUUUACCGGCAUUCAUCUUUUUAAUCCUUACAAAAACUAUAUGAGGUAGUCCCACUGUGGCAACUGACACACAGAGAGACAAGCAAGUUGGCCAAAAUCACACAACUAAAAAGUGAUGAGUCCACAGUAAGAAUCAGAGCCUGAGCCCUUAACCGGUAGGAUAGUGUGCAGAAAGAGAUGUGCACGGGUCCAGAAAUGCGAGAACAAGCCCUUCCAGGGGAAACAGGAGUCAAUGCGAAGGGACAGAGUGGUCACGAGGGAGCAUCAGAAGCAAAUGAGAGUGAAGAGAUAAUGGCCACGUUAGAGAGGGUUGCAUACCCUGCUGAAGUUUGUACUUUUUUUGGGGGGGGUGUUUAAUUUUUUUUAUUAUUAUGUUAUGUUAAUCACCAUACAUUACAUCAUUAGCUUUUGAUGUAGUGUUCCAUGAUUCAUUGUUUGCGUAUAACACCCAGUGCUCCAUGCAGUACAUGCCCUCUUUAAUACCCAUCACCAGGCUAACCCAUCCCUCCACCCCCUCCGCUCUAGAACCCUGUUUGUUUCUCAGAGUCCAUAGUCUCUCAUGGUUCGUCUCCCCCUCUGAUUCCCCCCCUUCAUUUUUCCCUUCCUGCUAUCUUCUUUUUUUUUUUUUUUUAACAUAAUGUAUUAUUUGUUUCAGAGGUACAGGUCUGUGAUUCAACAGUCUUACACAAUUCACAGUGCUCACCAUAGCAGAUACCUUCCCCAAUGUCUCUCACCCAGCCACCCCAUCCUCCCCACCCCCACCACUCCAGUAACCCUCAGUUUGUUUCCUGAGAUUAAGAAUGCCUCAUAUCAGUGAGGUCAUAUGAUACAUGUCUUUCUCUGAUUGACUUAUUUAAGCCUCAGAGCACCGGGAGCCAUGAAAGGAUCUAUACCCAAGCUCAGAUCUGCAUUGUUGGAAGAUGACUGACAGCAGGGUGGAGGAGAGAUUGCAGAGGAGCCAGCAAGCAGAGACCAGUUGAGACAGUAAUGUCACUGUACAGGAAGAAGAGAUGUGGAUACAGAACACAGACCGAGGGACAACCAUGUGAAGACACACAGAGAAAAUGGCCGUUUGCAAGCCAAGGACAUGAGCCUCAGAAGAAACCAAACCUGCUGACACCUUGAUUUUGGACUUCUAGCCUCCCAAAUUGAUCCUACCCAGGAUAUCACAUUACAUUUAAUUUUGAUGCGUCCUGAGGCUUCUCUUGGUUAUGGCGGUUUCAUAAACUUCCCUUGUUUUUUGAUGGCCCUGACUCUUUGGAGGACUACUGGUCAGAUAUUUUGUAGGAUGCCCAUCUACUAGAAUUUGCCCGGUGGAUUUUUUCCUGAUUGGAGCUCUCCCUCCAGCCAGAGGCACACCAAGACGGGUGGCUACCCUGGCCAAGGAAGAAGUUGUAGAAGAAUUCAGACCUGUUAAGAAAAAAAAAUAAUUUAUUCUUAAAGUGGCACAAAUGCAUUCUGACCAUCUGAGGACAAUUCAGUGACUGUCAAGAAUCUGUUCUGAUGCUCUCGCAUGUCCCACACCAAUACGUGUUAUUACUUGAAUGCCACAAUGUG